rnacentral:rRNA from 1 species
UACGGGGGGGGGCAAGCGUUGUUCGGAAUUACUGGGCGUAAAGGGCUCGUAGGCGGCCAACUAAGUCGGAUGUGAAAUCCCCAGGCUUAACCUGGGAAUUGCAUCCGAUACUGGAUGGCUUGAAUCCGGGAGAGGGAUGCGGAAUUCCAGGUGUAGCGGUGAAAUGCGUAGAUAUCUGGAGGAACACCGGUGGCGAAGGCAGCUCGCUGGGACGGUACUGACGCUGAGGCGCGAAAGCGUGGGGAGCAAACAGG